UGGCAUGGACAGUUCGGCAACAGAUGGACACCAUCCCUGCCCAGUGACGGGCUCACCGUCUAAACGGGGGGACAAAGACGACAGAGCGAAACGGAAUAAAACGAAACAAGACGGCAUCAUCGAGAUAAACAGAAUGAAGGCGAUGCGCACCUCGUUAACAAAAUAAACAGGCGGUUGCAGGUAUUAGACGGGGAUUGGCUAUUCUGCGUCGAUCUGCCCUUCACCCCCAACCCUUCUUCUUAGCACGCCGCGUAUCUUGGUGGAAGUCACCUCUCCGCGGAGAGCGUCUCUCACAGGCUCCCGGGACUGAGCCCAAACUCACCUGUAAGUCCGGAGGUCAGAGGAUCCGCAGGCGGAGCCGCCCUCUCGGGCCUCCAUGGCCACUCCCGCCCCAACGGGCCCCCCGGAUCCGGGAGCCGAGCCGCCUUCCCGCUGGACGGCGUGACGGCCCCCUUCCCAUCGGCCGGGCGUGAUGGAGGAGCCGAUCGAGCUGGGGGGCCCGGAGGGGAGGCCCUCCGGGAGGAGACGGCUGCGGUGGGGCCGAGUCCUCUUCCUCUUGGCCCUCGUGCUCCUUCCGUCCACCCCCCGGCUCCUCGGGAGCCCCGGGGCCCCCGCUUCGCCGUGGGGGGACACCCCGUCCCAACGUCCCGGGAGACGGGCCGGCGGGGACCCGUCCGGGGGCGAGAUCCCGGGCCCGGGCAGCGACCCGCGGAGGCCCGGGUCGGGCCCGGGAACUGCUGGUCCCCGGCCCUGGGAGGCCC